GAAGCAAGCCAGACAGCCGCUGGUUGCCCCGGUUUCCGGGGCGGCGGGAGGAAGGUCCGGACUCCAUAGAGCAGGGUAACGGCUAACGGCCGUCCGUCGAAAGCCGCAAGGUAUAAGGCGCGGAACAGGGCCACAGAGACGAGUCUUCGGGACGUCCGGCAUGCCGGCGUCACGAAGGGUGAAACGCGGUAACCUCUAUCCGGAGCAAUUCCAAAUAGGCACGCGAUGAUGCUGCUCGCGGAGCGUGCGGGUAGGAAGCUUGAGCCACGGAGCAAUCCCUGGCCUAGAGGAAUGGCUGUCAUAGCAAGCGGGGGCGACUCCGGGCGCCGUAACAGAAUCCGGCCUAUCGGCUUGCUUCAUUU
rnacentral:RNase_P_RNA from 1 species